rfam:Shewanella amazonensis SB2B, complete genome.
CAUGUGGUGUCCGACUUCGGGUUGGAAGAGCGACAUGGCCUUUACUUUGAGGU